rnacentral:rRNA from 1 species
AUCUACAGGCUUAACACAUGCAAGUCGAGGGGCAGCAUGGUCUUAUCUUGCUAAGGCCGAUGGCGACCGGCGCACGGGUGAGUAACACGUAUCCAACCUGCCGUCUACUCUUGGACAGCCUUCUGAAAGGAAGAUUAAUACAAGAUGGCAUCAUGAGUCCGCAUGUUCACAUGAUUAAAGGUAUUCCGGUAGACGAUGGGGAUGCGUUCCAUUAGAUAGUAGGCGGGGUAACGGCCCACCUAGUCUUCGAUGGAUAGGGGUUCUGAGAGGAAGGUCCCCCACAUUGGAACUGAGACACGGUCCAAACUCCUACGGGAGGCAGCAGUGAGGAAUAUUGGUCAAUGGGCGAGAGCCUGAACCAGCCAAGUAGCGUGAAGGAUGACUGCCCUAUGGGUUGUAAACUUCUUUUAUAAAGGAAUAAAGUCGGGUAUGGAUACCCGUUUGCAUGUACUUUAUGAAUAAGGAUCGGCUAACUCCGUGCCAGCAGCCGCGGUAAUACGGAGGAUCCGAGCGUUAUCCGGAUUUAUUGGGUUUAAAGGGAGCGUAGAUGGAUGUUUAAGUCAGUUGUGAAAGUUUGCGGCUCAACCGUAAAAUUGCAGUUGAUACUGGAUAUCUUGAGUGCAGUUGAGGCAGGCGGAAUUCGUGGUGUAGCGGUGAAAUGCUUAGAUAUCACGAAGAACUCCGAUUGCGAAGGCAGCCUGCUAAGCUGCAACUGACAUUGAGGCUCGAAAGUGUGGGUAUCAAACAGGAUUAGAUACCCUGGUAGUCCACACGGUAAACGAUGAAUACUCGCUGUUUGCGAUAUACAGCAAGCGGCCAAGCGAAAGCGUUAAGUAUUCCACCUGGGGAGUACGCCGGCAACGGUGAAACUCAAAGGAAUUGACGGGGGCCCGCACAAGCGGAGGAACAUGUGGUUUAAUUCGAUGAUACGCGAGGAACCUUACCCGGGCUUAAAUUGCAGAUGAAUUACGGUGAAAGCCGUAAGCCGCAAGGCAUCUGUGAAGGUGCUGCAUGGUUGUCGUCAGCUCGUGCCGUGAGGUGUCGGCUUAAGUGCCAUAACGAGCGCAACCCUUGUUGUCAGUUACUAACAGGUUCCGCUGAGGACUCUGACAAGACUGCCAUCGUAAGAUGUGAGGAAGGUGGGGAUGACGUCAAAUCAGCACGGCCCUUACGUCCGGGGCUACACACGUGUUACAAUGGGGGGUACAGAGGGCCGCUACCACGCGAGUGGAUGCCAAUCCCAAAAACCUCUCUCAGUUCGGACUGGAGUCUGCAACCCGACUCCACGAAGCUGGAUUCGCUAGUAAUCGCGCAUCAGCCACGGCGCGGUGAAUACGUUCCCGGGCCUUGUACACACCGCCCGUCAAGCCAUGGGAGCCGGGGGUACCUGAAGUGCGUAACCGCGAGGAGCGCCCUAGGGUAAAACUGGUGACUGGGGCUA